rnacentral:lncRNA from 1 species
CACUAUUAAGGUAGUAGCUAUGAGAAAUCAACUAAUGUUGUCAAGUGAACCAGUAAGAUUGCUAUUUCUAGUUAUAUGUCACAGGCCUUACAUUAAUUUUGGAAUGUGAGGAACAAUACUUUUAGGGUUAAAAAUGCUUCAAACAGGUAUGUAGGUCAGAGGCUAAUCUACUUUUGAUUUAUUGGCCUCUCAGAAGGAAGCACUGAAAAACAAACUUUCAGUGUGGCACUGGAAAAUAUGCUCAGUGGAAGAACGGAUGUAUCAAAGUGAGGGAAGGCAGUGACUGCUGAGAGAUAAAUUAAUUGUUUCUGAAGAUCCUGACUACCGCUCUGAAUAUGUGAUUCUGGUGAGAUUCUAACUGCAUGGGGUUUUAGACUGUGGAAAGCAGGGGACCAGCCAAAUGAUGAAAAGCAGUAACAGAUCAAUUUUUAACAAUGGAGUUCCAUAAAUAUUCUUCAUUUUGGUUGUAGAAAACUGCUUUUUUUUUAAGGUGACUGUCUAGAAAAUUGACUGUUUCAAAGAAAAUUGUUGUCCCAUGAUCAAGGAGAGCUGUCAAAACCACUUGGAAAAAAGCAACACAAAGUAAUUAAUGCCAGAGAUAUUUAUGUGUUAUUGCUAAGGAAAAAAAAAAGUCAUGCUGAGUAUGUUUGAGAGUCUAGCACAAGUUGGCACACAAGUUUUGUGGGGCAGAAGGAUGGAAUGUAAAUAGCUCAUAAAUUGGGUUCUUAACCUGUAUUUGAGAAUAGAAUUUAUCAAUAAGUACAGAAUAAAUGUGCUUGUUUUUGGUUGAUCAGGUCCACUCUAAAGCAAAGCUCUUUUACAGAAUUUUAUGGGUUUCUGGUUCUUGUUUCUAGUGUGGCAAAUCAUCACCAUUGCCCUCAAACUUCACCACCUCAAGGGCUAUACUUUCUGGGAUGUACUGUCACACAUUUUUUCCUAGAAAGCCAUCUAAUAAAUGGAGCCAAAGAAGAAACUACAGGGGAGGUGCAUUAGGUCUGUUAGCAACUUCAGAGUUGUAAGAUGGAAGAGGCAACAGGAAGGCUCAAAUACGUGGAGAAACCUUACACCUAACAAGAAGAUACAAAAAAGAGUGUGGUAUGUGGAGGACUGGCUGUACAGAAGUCCUGGCAUCAGAAAAGAGGACAGGGUUAAAGAGGGUAGGGGAGACCUUUCACAUGGCAAUAUGGCAAAUGGAAACGUGAGACAACAGAGCUGUUCUGGAGGAGGGUGAAGAGGGGAGCACCUUGGAUGAGACAGAAGGAGAGGACAGGGGUCAGAUGGCACACAGGGAGCUGAAGGAAUAAAAUGAAGGGAAGCAGCGAGCCCCUGCUUAUG